CCCGUUGAACUCGAUUAUCCUCGGCGGAGAUAUUCACUUGUGGCUGGGCGUCAAACACCUCGCCACACGGCACUUAUCUUCUGCCUGCGCGGACAUUGCGAUCCAUUACGAAAACCAACAAAUGCCCGACGCCUGCCCCCUGGUGCAUGGUUGCUGGCUCCCGUAGUAGCGGCGCUCAGUUUUGAAGGCCUGCGUCGCGACCCGGGGCUUACUGCACGUGGUGUGCAGUCGGGCGCGUGAUGGAUUCCCACGGACACCGUCUGGUAUGCGCGUGCGCAUACACCUUCCCCUCGCAGGGCUGCACGGACUGUCGAUCGGCAAUGAACACAUCGAGGUACCUUCGGG
rnacentral:rRNA from 1 species